rnacentral:rRNA from 2 species
UACGGAGGGGGCUAGCGUUGUUCGGAAUUACUGGGCGUAAAGCGCACGUAGGCGGCUUUGUAAGUUAGAGGUGAAAGCCCGGAGCUCAACUCCGGAACUGCCUUUAAGACUGCAUCGCUAGAACGUCGGAGAGGUAAGUGGAAUUCCGAGUGUAGAGGUGAAAUUCGUAGAUAUUCGGAAGAACACCAGUGGCGAAGGCGACUUACUGGACGACUGUUGACGCUGAGGUGCGAAAGCGUGGGGAGCAAACAGG